rnacentral:lncRNA from 1 species
CCAUGGAGAUGGAAAGGAUGUGAUUCCACCGACAACAAGUUGGUGUCUUGGACUACUAUUUCAACAGUAGAAUUGAAAGCAAUUUUGCUGAUCCUAGUGCCUACAUUUGUCCUUAGGUUGGCUGUAAGGGGUGCCCCUGUAAAAUUGAAUGGAGUAGGUGGUUUGUCUGGGAAAUCUGGAGUGUAUACACCCUUAAUGUUGAAGUAAUGAGACUGAAGAAGUGCAGUUUGUGGCAUGAUAAAGGAAAUGUUGUUCAGAGAAGCUGUAAGCCUAGUUCCAUUUAGACAGGUAGGACAAGGAUUUAUUCCUAGGCCAACUGUAAACAAGAGGUGCCGAUCAACAUUUAGGGGGACGUUUGCUGGAUAUUUGGGAGUAUUUAGGCUUUUGAGUUUAGAGUUAUAGCUCAAAGCAAAGUCUGAGUCAUUUUGUGCAGGCAAGGUUGGAGGUUUUGGCAGCACCGUUUCUGGGAUUCCCUUGUACUGGAAUAUAGCAGUGGCAGUCUUGUUAUCCACACUGAUUGGAGCAUCCAUGAAGGCCCUUGCAGCCAUGAAGUAUCUUCCCGGAACUUGGUUUGCACGAACCAGAACGUUUGUAGUUUGGCCUGGUGCUAUCAGGAUGGCCUCUGUGGAGAAUGGUUUCGUGUAGACUGCAUCAAUUUCUACCACUGUGAAGGUAUGGUUAGCCAGGGCAAAAAAGAGCUCAUCAUUGAGAGCAGCAUUGAUAAUUCUCAACAGGUAUGUCUUUCCUUUUUCGACUUCCAUGGCAAAAGUAUCUGAAAAAGAAAUUCACAUAUUGAAUUAUGUUGGAAGCAAAUACUCUAACAAACAUACAUGAUUGAAAUACUCUAGUAAAUAUCAGUUUCUUGAUUCUUACAUUUCUCUGAACAUGGGAAAAGAGGCCCUGGCUUUCCGUUAAUCGUGUGAGCAUCAGACAUAUUAGGAGGAAUACCCAAGGCAUUUCCUUGUUUCUCGACUGCUUCAACAUCAGCAUUCCACCAUUCCCCUGCAUCACAAUCACAUAGAAGUAUUGCUGUCAUUUUCUUUUAUUCUUUGCCAUAAGAGAACUUUGAGAAAUUUUGGGGAUGAAUACUAUAUAUAUUAACGAAUGUCAAUGCUCACCUAGAACAAGCACUUCUUCCCUAUCUGGCUGAGGAAAAGGGAAGGGAGUUCCUUGUUGUGGCAUUAUCACUAUUGCACCAUAGACAGUUGCCCUUAGCCAAAGAAUAUGUGCAUGCCACCAUAAGGUUCCUCUUUGUCCUGUUACAUUGAAAUCAUAAACAUAGCUAUUUCCUGUCUGGAUAGGGCAUUGAGUUAUGUAAGCUGGACCGUCUGCCCAACCAUUGCGAUAUUGUUUCAAACCAUGCCUACAAGAAUCAGAACAAAAACAUUCUGUUUUAGCACCUGAAAGUUUUGAGACUUCAAUUUUCAUCUAAUUCUAGCUUAUCUUACCAAUGGAUGGACAAGUUAUAUUGUACAUAGUUAGUAACAUUGAUUUGAACUCUAUCUCCUUCUCUAGCAUAUAUAGUUGGCCCCGGAAAUCCGCCAUUUACUGUAACCAUUUGUUUUGCAUUGCACAAUCUGCUCACAUUUGACAAUUUCACCUGUAAACCACAGAAAGUUUACCAUGAUGAAAAGAAAAGAACCAAAAGUAAACAAAGUUCAAAAAUUGAAAGCACUAACAUCAAAUUGAUAUUUCUUAAGGGCAGCCUCAACAGGUAGACAAAUGAAACAGAGAAAUCCAAAGACAAGUAAGCCUAUAAAACUUGUCUGCUUUGCCAUUUUCCUUAAUUGGCUAAAAGGUGUAUGACAAGUAUGUGGAAUGGGAUGAGACAAGCGUAUUUAUACAAGUGAAAUGUCAUAUAGUUUGUUAAGGGAAGAGAUAUAUUAGGUACAAAAAGUAUUUCAAUUUGCUGUAGUGCUGUUACUGCAAAGCCUUUAAGCAAUACACAGAUGUAGACAUUUUUAAAGCCAUUGACUGACGUAGAGGCUAAAUUCAAAAUCCACCACAUUCAAGCUAAGAAAAAUAUAAAUUAGUUUUAUGAACUUUACCUUAACGGUAAAGGAAAGAAGUUGCCCUAGCUAUAGUAUAAGAAGGUGCAUGUUAAUUAGCAUGUAGAAUGUAGGUAUAUUUUUUGACGGCAGUUUUAUUGGUUGGUCAAAAAAUAGCAUAUUGAUUUAGACAUAGGAAGGAAAGAAAUUAUUAUAUUAUUACUAAAAUAAAUAAAUGUUCGUUGUGCUAUUGUAGUCAUGUAAACCUACUAUGAGUAUCACCAUUUACAUAUGUUUUUAUGGCUACUCAAUUUUAUUAUCUAUGACACUGAAAUACCACCUUCAUUCAUUAAUUUAAUCCUCUCAACUAGGCGCUUCACUUUUUUUUCCUUGCAUGGUAUGUUAACUAAAAAAAUAAUUUUGAUAACUCAGAACUGUAAUUGGGGGUGACUCAAGCACUUUCAUGGCCUAAAAUCAAAAACAAAUCGGAUCUCUUAAAUUUUUGAGUAAUAAUAAUACUUUUUUUUAAUUUAAAAUCUGUUAUUCUAGUUUUUUUAAAAUGCAAAGUGUUUGUAAAUAUAUAUUUUAAAAAAUUAUUUUGAGAUGCAAACUUGUUUUCUCUUUCUAUAUGAAAAAAUUAUUUUGUUUUGUAAAUAGUACUCUCUCCAUUUCAAUUUGUUUGUCUAAUUUUGACUUGACAUGGAGUUUGAAGUUUAAUAAGAAAUAAAUAAUAUUUUUUGAAUCGUAUAGUCUUAAACUAAAGAUUGAAACUAACUAUAUAAUUUUUUCUAAUUUUUAAGAGUACUUGUAAAAAUCUUAGUAUUUUUUAAUGGGAUCUUUAAAUUUGGAGGCCUAAAGUAAGUGACUUAUUUUUCAAUACAUAUAGAGCCGUCCUGACUUACCAACACUAUAACUUUUUGGGGGUAAAAUCACAAUCAAUCUAUUUUACGAGUAAAAUGAACCACUAACAGAUAUGUGAAAUUCAGUAAAAUUAUUGUAGUACACUUUUUAAGAUCAUUUUGGUAAUGAAGAGUGUUUAAUUGCCAAAAAGAUACAGUACACUUUCAUUUAAACGAUGUUCUACGUUACUAAUGUUUUCAAUUUUAUUUGUUAUUUCACCAGAUGAAAUAUUACAUAAAUUCUGUAAAGGCAUCCACCCAAAUACUGAAAUUUGAGGAUAAGUUUUAUACUUCAAAGUGCUAGUAUAAUCUCCCCCUAAAAACCAUGGUAAAGUUCUUCAUAGAACUAGAGUUAUAUAUCUAUGAAAUUAAUCCCUAUUUCACUUGCAUCACUUUCCAACUCAGGCACUACUAGAAAAAUCAGAAUUUUCAAUAGAAAGUCCAUCAGAAAUAAUUACGAUGAGUAUAAUUUUAAUGGAAUUUCACCGAAAAUUCUAGUUUUUCUGGUAAUGUCUUCCGCUUAUUCCUUAAGUUCCUGUUCAACUUUUUAACACUUCCAUUUCACUAAACGUUCAGUGUCUGUAUACUCAAAGAACUGUUUGUGCACUCGUAUAAAUUUUUUGUUCUCAAACUUAAAGGGAUUAUUGUGGGCUUUUUCUCUAAAUUUACACAGUUUUGUUGGUGACUUAGCAAUUCUUAUAUAUGGAUGGAUGAUCGAACUCAAAUUUUAGGACUUUUUCUUAAAAUAGCAGGUACUAAUUCAGGUUUGCUAUAAUUGAUAAACCUGUCAAGUCAAGUAGUAUUAACAGACUAUAUUUCAAUCCAAGUAGAUAGGGAAGUUCAUAAAAAACAACAGCCCAAAAUCACAUUUUUAUGUGUGGACCUUUAUUACAACUCAAAUUACAUUUAAAUUCUUGGGAUAAAAACUCCUUCUUCAUUUUUCCAAUUUUGCACAUCUUUCCUAUGCACACUGGCUAAAAUGUGUAUAAUCUUCAAAGCAUUUUGCUUCCUUAUGGGAAAAUAAAACAAAUUAUGUAAAACUUUUACAAGAAAUCCAUCUGGACAUAUAAAAGUAAAGCCUUUUGAAAUUAGCAUGAUGGAAGGUCCUUUGGUGGAGGCAGAAUACUAUGAUCUAAUCCUGGUCCAUUUUCCACUAAAAAUGCUGUUUUCAGUCCCCAGCCUGUGUGCAACUCCAGAUGACAGUGGAAGAACCAGACCCCUUCACAAAAAAUUGGAUAUGUUAACAAUAAAUUUUCAAAACAAUAGAAAAGUUUUAACAAAAUUUGGUUGAAAACUAGGUACCUGGAUUAUCAGCCCUGAAUCGAAUAGCAGUCCAACCGCCAGUUGGAACACCUACAGUAUUUCUUUCUAUAGGAUCAUUCAAGUUGUAUUUUGCUGGAUCUUUUUUGGGGUCAAAGUUUCCAAUGCCAGUUCCAACCACAAAGAAAUUGUAGCCAUGGAGAUGGAAAGGAUGUGAUUCCACCGACAACAAGUUGGUGUCUUGGACUACUAUUUCAACAGUAGAAUUGAAAGCAAUUUUGCUGAUCCUAGUGCCUACAUUUGUCCUUAGGUUGGCUGUAAGGGGUGCCCCUGUAAAAUUGAAUGGAGUAGGUGGUUUGUCUGGGAAAUCUGGAGUGUAUACACCCUUAAUGUUGAAGUAAUGAGACUGAAGAAGUGCAGUUUCUGGCAUGAUGAAGGAAAUG